rnacentral:rRNA from 1 species
GUGACGAAGCGACGCCGCGUGCGGGAAGAAGGCCUUCGGGUUGUAAACCGCUGUCGGGAGUUAGGAAGUGCAAGGAUGUUAAUAGCGUUCUUGCUUGACUAAGGCUCCGGAGGAAGCCACGGCUAACUCUGUGCCAGCAGCCGCGGUAAUACAGAGGCGGCAAGCGUUGUUCGGAAUUAUUGGGCGUAAAGAGCACGUAGGCGGCUGUGUAAGUCGGUUGUGAAAGCCUUCCGCUUAACGGAAGAACGGCAUCCGAUACUGCAUAGCUUGAGUGCGGGAGGGGAGAGUGGAACUUUUGGUGGAGCGGUGAAAUGCGUAGAUAUCAGAAGGAACACCGGCGGCGAAGGCGACUCUCUGGUCCGUAACUGACGCUGAGUGUGCGAAAGCUAGGGGAGCAAACGGGAUUAGAUACCCCGGUAGUCCUAGCCGUAAACGAU